GUUUAUCGGCUAAAUCUUGUCCGCCAUAUUUGUUAUUGUUAUUGCAACGUAAGCAGUUUAGCAGGUGAGUUCGGGCAAAAAGCAGGUGAGCUCGACGACAAGCUCACCUGCUCUAAACCAAUCAGAAAGCCGCUUUUAACACAGGUAUGGGAUAAGGUGGUGAGUCCGCUUCAAUAUUGGCAAAAUAAUGAAACGAAAUUAAACAAAUGUAUCUCAGUGGUGACUAAUGAACAAUGCUCCCCAUCUGAUGCGGCUUAUAAUUACCAAGUUGCUGCUUGGGGUGACCAUUUUCAAGCAUGCACAAAGUAAGUAGAAUGGCUAAACGCGUGUUAACCCAAUUUUGCACCCAGAGUGUGCCCCGUGCACAUACUCUUGGUAAGUUAGUGUUUCCAGUCAAGUCGUGGUCUUGAAGAAUCAAGAUAUGAUGUUCCGGAAGCCAGCCAACUUCAAAGCUUCAAAAUCUUUCUUUCAGCAUCAAACCGUGCACAAAUCUUUUGUCUCGACUUCAUUAAAUUGCACGUUUCAUCGAUCAGCUAUCCCUUCGGGACGAUUACAUCGCUAUACGAAUAUGCAAUGAGCUCAAUCACCGUCAGCGUGCACAUGAAUUAACAUAAAUUCAGACAAAAACAUACUAACACAAUGACUUCUGUUAUGUUUCCAGACCAAGUCGAAUAGAUCGACCAUUUGCAUAUUACUAGAAAAUACAUGCAUGCAGAAACCCUUGCCUUGCUGACAAAACCAUUGUAUUUUCCAAACACGAAGUAUUUAAAUUAAAGUGGUUAUCACGGUUUAAGAAUAUUUUUACAAAUGAAGAGUCCCCUAAAAAUAUAACUUUUAAUUACAAAAUUAUCAAUUUCCCAAACAUAGCCUACGUAUACAUAAUGUUAGAAAGAGUUUAUUUUAACGUGCAGUUCUACACAAAAUGUGCAGUUCUAAACCCAUUUGUGCAGUUCUUAAAACUCAACUGUGCAGUCACCAAAUUAACAAACAUAUAACCUCAAAACAAUACUCUUCUCAUUUGCUUGUUUUCGUUGUGGAUGCUCCAGAUGCCAGAAAUGCUGUCAUUGAGUAUCAAAAGUCUAAAUGUUUUCUGGGAGAGCCGGAGAGGGCCACCAGACCCUCAUAUUUUCCUCACAAAUCGCAUAUGUGCUGGGGUAAUGGAACAGGAGGUAAAAUUGGGGCGAGUGAAGCUAUCCAAAAGAGAUUAAUAGAGUGGGAGAACCUAGUAAUAUUCUUUCCUGUCUAAGGUUAUUAUAUAUUGAGUAUUUAUGAUUCCCAGUUACAUGUUUUGAAACAGUUUUUGUGGGUGGUUGGGUGAAAUAAAUCUUUGCCAGAACUUACGAGCCCCUAAAUUCAAAUUCCCCUACCUGUAGCUUCCUCACCAGGAAUCGAGUUUAUCUGGCCCCACCCAACCACACCUUUAUUCUGCUACCUAUAUACAAAUUAAGAGUCUAUCAUCAUUUGCAACGUUAACUAUAAAUUUACAGCGUUAAAUACACUGUAGAUAAAAAUCCUUUGACACCCAGCCAAACAUCCUUUGAUCCCCCCCCCCAGUCAAACACGUGAUGCUUCGUAACAUCUCUAAUAUGUGCAGUUCUAAACUUUUCUUAAAAUAAACCCUGAUGUUAGGCAUGUACGUUACGUAAUAUAAGCUUCAAUUUAAUUUAAUUAAGGUAAAAUUCAACCACAAAGGGCUUCGCAAAACGUUUAGUACAUGUUCUUUAUAAAACUAAACUGCCUUUAUCGAAAAACUUUGAAUUUGAAAUAAAUUCAAGUAACUUUGUCUUAUUUUUUAUCUAAACAUUUUAAUAUUAUAAAAAAGGGUAAUCAAUAAAGA